UGGGGAAUUUUCCGCAAUGGGCGAAAGCCUGACGGAGCAACGCCGCGUGAGGGAGGAAGGCCUGUGGGUUGUAAACCUCUUUUCUCAGGGAAGAAUUUUUGACGGUACCUGAGGAAUCAGCAUCGGCUAACUCCGUGCCAGCAGCCGCGGUAAGACGGAGGAUGCAAGCGUUAUCCGGAAUUAUUGGGCGUAAAGCGUCCGUAGGCGGUUGUAAAAGUCUGCUGUUAAAGCCCGCAGCUCAACUGUGGAUGGGCAGUGGAAACUAUAUGACUAGAGCGUGGUAGGGGUAGAGGGAAUUCCUAGUGUAGCGGUGAAAUGCGUAGAUAUUAGGAAGAACACCAGUGGCGAAGGCGCUCUACUGGGCCAUGACUGACGCUGAUGGACGAAAGCUAGGGGAGCGAAAGGGAUUAGAUACCCCCGUAGUCC
rnacentral:rRNA from 1 species